GACGAACGCUGGCGGCGUGCUUAACACAUGCAAGUCGAACGCUGAAGCUUGGUGCUUGCACUGGGUGGAUGAGUGGCGAACGGGUGAGUAAUACGUGAGUAACCUGCCCUUGACUCUGGGAUAAGCCUGGGAAACUGGGUCUAAUACUGGAUACGACAUGUCACCGCAUGGUGGUGUGUGGAAAGGGUUUUACUGGUUUUGGAUGGGCUCACGGCCUAUCAGCUUGUUGGUGGGGUAAUGGCUCACCAAGGCGACGACGGGUAGCCGGCCUGAGAGGGUGACCGGCCACACUGGGACUGAGACACGGCCCAGACUCCUACGGGAGGCAGCAAUGGGGAAUAUUGCACAAUGGGCGGAAGCCUGAUGCAGCGACGCCGCGUGAGGGAUGACGGCCUUCGGGUUGUAAACCUCUUUCAGCACGGAAGAAGCGAAAGUGACGGUACGUGCAGAAGAAGCGCCGGCUAACUACGUG
rnacentral:rRNA from 1 species